AGAAUCAACGCUGGCGGCGUGCCUAACACAUGCAAGUCGCACGAGAAAGGGGACUUCGGUCCUGAGUACAGUGGCGCACGGGUGAGUAACACGUGAAUAAUCUACCUCCGAGUGGGAAAUAAACUGAGAGAAAUCUUAGCUAAUACCGCAUAACACUUACGAGUCAAAGCAGCAAUGCGCUUGGAGAGGAGUUCGCGGCAGAUUAGUUAGUUGGCGGGUAAUGGCCCACCAAGACGAUGAUCUGUA
rnacentral:rRNA from 1 species